rnacentral:lncRNA from 1 species
CAAAUUUGAUCAAAUGCAAAUUUAAACGGUUCAAACAUGUGAAAUUUUGGUUCUACUGUAUUCUCCUGGUCGCUACGAGUACACAGGAAAAAGAAUCAAUGAAUUUGGAUAUACAGACCAAGAGAUAUAGCUAAACGAAAAAUUGGUGAAAAUCUGUCUAAAACAUGAUUUUGAACUGUGGUUACUAUAGCAUAGCGCCAUGUGUCACAUCCAGAUUGGCUGAGAUGUAGCUGUGCGCGCGUGGUCACCGAAGCAGGGGGAAAACGGUGACGGCUUCGGGCGUGGGUGGCGGCGCUCCUCCGGUAGCUCUCCAGUGAAGGUGAGGUGAAGGGCGGAUGCGGCUUGCGAUGACGGAGACGAUGGUAGCUUCAACGGAGAUGGGAGCGUCCUCUGCUGGCGCGCCGUCGCUCGGUGGUGCUGGCGAUUUUGGGCAUGGUCGGGAGCUCGGUAUCCCGUGUUCCUGAGAAGAUCAGAGGUUGAGGGAAAUUUAAAAGACCACGAAUAAUACUCAGGAAGGAUUAGCGAGGAACCGAGGCUCACAGAGGCAACGGAAUCGUUCCGGGAAGCUCCGGCAAGGGCAAUACUCCGGCGAGAUCGGGAUUUGUUGAAGAGCUCGAUGUGGUGCGGUCCUGGGCAAAAUCAAAGCGGAGGGAGUGCAUGAGGUUUCCUCGCAGACUAUGGAGUGCUCGGAGAGGGGCCGGACUUACUGGAGUGCCCGAAAUCGUUCGUAUCGCCGGAGUCGGCAGAGCUUGGCGAGGUCCUUACUCUCGAUUCCUAGGGGAAAACAAAGUGGCGCCUGCGAGGACUGAUCGAGGGAUUCGAGAGGAACCACACGGCGGCCUCAGAUUGGAAAAGGAGCAAGGGGUCGCGUGAAUCACGCGGGGUUUGGUGCGGCAGUGGCGGCGCUGUCGUCCACGAACAGGAGACCGAUCGGGAGGCGGAACGAGGCGGUGGGGUCCGCUGUCGUGGAAUAGAGAGAAAGAAAGAAAAAAAC